rnacentral:rRNA from 1 species
CCUACGGGGGGCAGCAGUGAGGAAUAUUGGUCAAUGGACGCGAGCCUGAACCAGCCAUGUCGCGUGAAGGAAGACUGCCCUACGGGUUGUAAACUUCUUUUGUAAAAGAAUAAAGGCAGGCACGCGUGCCUGUCUGAAUGUAUUUUAUGAAUAAGGAUCGGCUAACUCCGUGCCAGCAGCCGCGGUAAUACGGAGGAUUCGAGCGUUAUCCGGAUUUAUUGGGUUUAAAGGGUGCGUAGGCGGUUGUUUAAGUUAGAGGUGAAAGCUUGUGGCUCAACUUUGGAAUUGCCUUUGAUACUGGUCGGCUAGAGAGUAGUUGAGGUAGGCGGAAUGUAUGGUGUAGCGGUGAAAUGCAUAGAGAUCAUACAGAACACCGAUUGCGAAGGCAGCUUACUAAGCUACUUCUGACGUUGAGGCACGAAAGCGUGGGGAGCAAACAGGAUUAGAUACCCUGGUAGUC